UACGGAGGAUGCAAGCGUUAUCCGGAAUUAUUGGGCGUAAAGAGCUCGUAGGCGGUUUGUCGCGUCUGCCGUGAAAGUCCGGGGCUCAACUCCGGAUCUGCGGUGGGUACGGGCAGACUAGAGUGAUGUAGGGGGAGACUGGAAUUCCUGGUGUAGCGGUGAAAUGCGCAGAUAUCAGGAGGAACACCGAUGGCGAAGGCAGGUCUCUGGGCAUUAACUGACGCUGAGGAGCGAAAGCAUGGGGAGCGAACAGG
rnacentral:rRNA from 1 species